rnacentral:misc_RNA from 1 species
GUUCCACUCGUAUUUACAUAGUUUAAAACCAGGGAUGCCAUGUGGGAUCCAUCAUACACAAGUUUCUCGGCGUCAAGGCAGCUUCAACCAGCUCAAUCACACCCCUCUGCACCGACUGUGGUGGGUCAACCGCAUUUUCCUCCUCUUCAGAGAGAAAUUGUGGAGCAAUUCCAUUGAUCCGGUUGAUAACAUGAUCAACGUUGGCAGUGACCUUAUGUUUGAAGUCAACGGGAUUCAUAUUACUCCCUCCAGCAACGGGUGCCAUGGGCAUCCCAAGCGGUCUUCUCCAAGACCAAGAUAGCAGCUCAUCGCGGAAAAACAUUGCUAAUUGAUGCCACAAAUGAUGACUUUGUUUAGGUGAAACCACAGCCUGCGCUGCAGCACACAUCGCAGACACAAUAAGCCCUUCAACUCCAAAAUGAGAGAAAAACGCCUGCAUGUUCCUUGUUAGACGAAAAGGUACUGGUUCAUUAAACUCGAUCAUUCCACCUGCAUCAUAUGCAGGAUGAAAAUCUGUCUGGAAAAUUUUCCCAGUGUUCUUGGCAAAUAAUAUCUUAUUUGGAGACCUUCCUCCUAUUUGAAGCAUGAAUGACAUGAAACUUGAGAGUGCCAACUGGAUGGCAAAUUGCUUUUUAAAAGCCCACAUAUGGUUGCCACUCAGCAGGGUCUUGUACAUGUACUGAGAAAAGAUGCUGUCAGUCACAAGAGUUUUUGUUAUUUCAUUAUAAGCUUGAUGGCGGAGAUCUACAACAGUCUCAUGCGGUGAUAUUUGCCCAGCUAUAGCUGGGUUUAAUUGCUCCUUGAAGUAGGUAAUUGGGAGAUCUGCCUCUCGGUCAUUCCUAGCACAAUGGUUCUCAUAGACCUCAAGGAAAGUGCUGUACAUUAAAUCAUCUUCAACCAUGCGAACCUGGGACCAAACAGGAAUGAUAAUUGGUGUGUGAAUGCAUAUGUGGCGACGUCUUGAUUCUUUGUGCUUGUCAAACAUCUGGUUCAUAACACGGAAAAGCUGCAAUAUGCGUUCAUCACUUCUGGCAUUAGGUGUCAAAGAUGUCUGAACAAUAAAAUGGCGUUGUGAGCCAUCAGAGCCAAUCAAAGUCAAGCGCCGGAAGCUGCUUCCAUGCCUUCUAACAAUAGGAAUAUCAGCUCCAACCCUAUCUAACUUAACAGUAUGGUCUGGUGCAAUAUCCUGAUCAAUAAAAUAUUGUCCAGGAAC